UAGAUUUUAAAGUUCACUCUGAUAAAAAAAACUGACCCAAAAAAAAAAGGUUUGAAGUUUUAACGAGCCGCCUUUCAACUCAUUUAGAAAAUUAGAUUAACCAAACGAAAACCCCCAAAUUAUAUGAUCAAAGUUGACCCACUAAAACCGCGACUAGUCCCCUUCGUAACACGGCCAAAGAUGACAACCAACACGGCGGCGCCACCGAGUCAACUCCGAGUCCCAGAAAUCCAACUCAGUCACGGAGGUCGAAGCAUCCCCGUCAUUGGCUUAGGUACUGCUGUGGAUCCUCCGGUAUCGGCAGAAGAUAUGAAGUCAGCGGUGGUGCGGGCCAUCGAGGUGGGCUACCGGCACUUCGAUACGGCCCACAAGUACAAAUCGGAGCAGCCAAUUGGUGACGCAGUCCAGGAGGCUUUGAGUUUGGGGCUCAUUCAAUCCAGAGAUGAACUCUUUAUUACUUCUAAGCUUUGGUGUGGUGAUGCUCAUCCAAAUCUCGUUGUUCCUGGCCUCCAGAAAUCCCUCGGGAAUUUAAAGAUGGAGUGGAUUGACUUGUAUUUGAUACACUGGCCACUAAGCUGUCAACCUGGUAAAAAUGAUUUUCCAAUAAAGGAGGAUGAUUUUCUUCCCAUGGAUUUUCAAGGUGUUUGGGCAGCUAUGGAAGAGUGCAAGAAGCUUGGCCUUGCGAAAUGCAUUGGCGUUAGCAAUUUUUCUUGUAAGAAACUCAAUGAUCUCUUGGCUAUUGCUAAAAUCCCACCAGCUGUUAAUCAAGUGGAGGUUAGCCCAUUUUGGCAACAGAAGAAGUUGGUAGACUUGUGCAAACAAAAUGGCAUUCUGAUAACAGCUUAUUCUCCGUUAGGAGCCAUAGGAACCUUCUACGGAAGCAACAGGAUAUUGGAGUCCGAAGUGCUUCAGGAAAUAGCCAAGUCUAAAGGAAAGUCUAUACCUCAGGUAUGCUUGAGAUGGGCAUAUGAGCAAGGAAUCACUAUAGUGGCAAAGAGUUUCAAUAAAGAGAGAAUGAAAGAAAACCUCAUGAUUUUUGACUGGGAGUUGACUGAAGAAGAUCAUGAAAAAAUCAGGGGAAUCCCUCAGAGCAGAGGGGUCACUGGUUGGCCUUAUUUAUCGAAGAAAGGGCCUUUUAAGACACUUGAAGAACUCUGGGAUGGAGAGCUUUAAUCAUGAUUCAUGACGAUGCUUUAAACAUGGCGGCCUCAAAUGCACCAUGGUCGAGGAUGCAAACCUCGUAUGUUGAGAGAUUUAUUCCAUUACAGUUGAGCUGAAUAACCUCCCGUAUGAGAAAUUAAAAAUUCCCAAUGUAUAUCUCCUGCUGCUGGAAUGGAAGCUAGGAUAGAAGGAAGUUAAAGGACAUGGAAUUGGUCGUGUUGCGUUGAGUUUGUUCGUUAUACAUCUUUCAAGAAUAAUUCACUGAGAAAUGUACCUCUCAUUGUGGAAUCCGGUGGCAAUGCAAUGGCUAAGGCGGGCGCUAGGAAAAUAUGGAAGUGUUGGCUAGCAUGGUUUCGCUUCUUCUGAAUAUGGUGAGACUCCUGUACACCCUGUUUCUUAGUCUGUUCAAUUCAACACUUCAUGCUUCUCUUUCUUCUGUGUUGCUACUUUAGUUUAUGCUUAAAUAAUACAGAGUACGGAGUACUUCUAAUGCAUAGAAUUAUAUAGUGUAACACAAAUUACUACUAGUAAAAUAACUAUGAGAAACCACUAUAAUCUACCCCGGCCAUACCAAAUUACCAAUAUACAGUCAGUUGAGAAGCUGACAGGUCUGAGAGCCAUAUUUGACAAAGACGAGUUUUAAGCAUUUGAUUUUAUUGUAAAACUAUAGACUAUAUUCUGUUAAGAUAGCAAAGCUUUGAACUUGGCGAUUUCGAUACAUCAAAGAUUCAAAGCCUUAAAACAUGGGCACGUCUGAACUCUGAAGUGUACCAGAGUGUUGCGCAGAGCAUGUGUGGAGAAAAUGUGAGAGACUGCCGGUGGAGAUAAAAACACCUUUUGGUACACCGCUCUAUUUUGUAGUUUUGAAAUUUGUUUAUCUUGUAGUAGUGUCAAUUAACAUUAGCUAGAAGGCCUAGAACCAACCUCAUUUCCCCAAUCUUACGCUAGUAGUUUCAGUCUGAGCUAUGGCCCAAUGCAUUAUGCCAAAUUGAAAGACCCAGGCCCAUGAUCAGACCUGGAAUUGUAGUCAUCCAAUGCUAAAAUAUUUGAAAAAGAUUUCCAAAUCAAGCUUACAUAACACACAAUACAUGAAGAAGAAGUUAAAUCCAUUCAUCCAUGCCAAAAUAUUCAUGUGAAAUUGUUAAACAUUCAACAUUCUUACAGUUAUAAGUCUUACAACCUAACAACUCAAAUAUAAACGGCUAUUAACACCGAUACAUAGGAAAGAAACCCGUCUACAUCAUUGACUUGUUCGGCUUCCUCUACACGCAAAACAAUCCAACACUCACAUCCCAAAUUUAAAGGGAAAAAAACCCAAAUUAAACAAGAAACUAAGGGCUUGUUCGACACCAUUUUUUGUUUACAUUUUGCUGUAUUUUAUGAAAACUAAAAACAAAAAUAUGAAACCACAAAAACUAGUUUCUAUUUUGUUGUUGCGUGUCUUCAAAAUCAACAUGAUUGCUAUAAGUAUGCCUAUUUUUUACUUUAUCAUGCAAUCUAAAUCAUAUUACUUCCAAAAUUAUAAAAUCAAAAACUGAUCACGGAACGUGCCCUAAGUCAAUUAAUUCCAACACCCAAUAAAAGAACAAAUAAAUAAACUGUAUAAGUAUAUAUUCCUAGAACAUUUCAAGCCAAAACACAACAACCCUCAAAUUGAAAAUAGAAAGUGUUUUUUUUUUUUUUUUUGGGUGUAACUACUUGUAGGAGGAUCUGCGGAAUUUCUGAACAACCCAAGAAAUACUACCUGAAGUAGUAUCCUUUGCCUUCCUCAUUCCCUUAGAAACUGACUCCUUGGUCUUCUCCACUCCAUUCGCGGAUGCCUCCUUCGUCUUGUUGAAGCUUUCUCCGAAUUUCUUCGACAACUUCUUCGUCAUACUUUUUCCCGAUUUAACACCAUUGUUGUUGCUGUUUCCUUUGUUAUUGAGAGAAGAUGAUUGAUCUUCGUUGUUGGAAUCCCAUUGGUCCGCCCACGAGUUCGAAUAUGAACCAUGCCCUGCCAUUUUAAGUAAAUUUACAACAACAACAAAAAUAUGAAUGUAUAUGAUUCUUGCGAGAAGUUUUUGAUGAUGAAAUUAGUGUUAAAUAAGAUUGGAAAAAUGGAGGGUUUGCUUGUCAAGGGAGUAAGGGAUUGAAUAUUUGUCUUUAGCUGUCUAGACGUGGGAAGGUGUAGGCUGAAAUGUUGAAUGUAUUUUCUUACCUGUCAAAUUAAGAAAGGAGGAAAAUAAUAAUAAUUCGAUUCUAAUGUUUUUAAUUUAAACUUUAAAUAGAACACUUUUCUUAACAAAACAAAAAGUUAACAUCGUUGAUAAGAUAUUCUAGCAAAUAUUCUCAUUUAAAUUACGUAGGUAUAGUAAUAUAGUUUUUUUCGUGGAAAAAGUGAGGCAGAUAUAUUAAUGUGCAUAUCAUGAUCCGGCAAAGAUAGAAUGUUUUAGGGGGAAAUGUUCAUAAAAACUAAUUUAGAACUACCUCACAUAUCCUAUCUCGCAAUAAGAUGAGUAAUUGUAUUAUAGUUUUUUUUUUCAUGAAAAAAGUUGGUUAUUUUAUGUAUUCGUACAAACUAAUUCAGAACUAUUUUACGUAUUGUAUCUCACGAGUGUUCAAUUUAGGUGGUUAAUCGUCCCGAAACUAUGUUUUAGUUCAGUUCGGUAACCGGAAGUUCCCGUUCGGCAUUUUCAUAAAUUGUAACCGUAUUGCAUAAACAUUAUUGUUUGAAUGAUUAACCGUGUUAUACUGUUAUGAUAUGUUUUCUCAAUUAUUCAUAAACCGCUAUUCGGUUUCUUUUAAAUAUUUUUGAUCGCUUUUACUUUAUUUUUAAAUAUUAUAUUUACAAAAAUAACAUUUUGAAAUUGAAAAUCAGGUUAAGCCACAAAUAAGUCCAGACAAGGGUUAAAAUCACCCUAAGUUCAUCAAAGUUCACACAAAAUUUGAAAAACUAUGAAGCACUUACAAAUUGGAGUACUAUUGAAGUAACUUAUUGCUCUAGCACAAACAAAAAGUGAGAAAAUGGGAAAAAGGAAUGGGCCUAGAGCCCAAUUACUAGUAUUGUCUUUGUUUUGUGUAAAAAGAAGGUGAAAAAACUGUCAUGGUGGCUUUUAUAAGGAUUUUGAUGAGGGUGGAAAUGACUUUUAUCCAGGGCUUGGUUUGCUAUGGAGUAAGGCUGCCUUGUAGAGAAAUGGAAGAGAAGAAAAGGGGCACUAUGAUAUUUUCCCCGAAACUUUUAACUUAAAAACAUCAAUUCAUGUUUAACGUUAAUGUCACGGUAUCACUUAACAUCAAAGUACAAUGCUACCAUUGGUAAACAAAAAAACAGAAGCGAUAACAUCAGUAAAAGUCAAUAUCAUAGUUGUACUAUUGAGAAUUUCGCUUUAAUAAAUGGAUGAAAGUCAUAUGAGUAAUUAAAAUGGGUCAUCCAAGUCUAAGAAGAGGCGACAUUCAAUUGAAGUUAGGAAGGGCUCACUAUUUACUUCUUCUCAUAAUGUUUCACCGUUAUUUAGCAAUUAACUAAGAUCUUUGUUUCUUGAUGUAAAGAAAUAGAAAAUAAAUCAGAUUUUGGAUGCUUGAGAUGAGAUAGAGAAAAUAGAUAUUGAAAGAAGAUUACGUAGUGACUGAUAGAAAUUUGAGGACGCACGCGGAAGUUUCGAUGGACCCGAAUAAUAUAACAAAAUUGUAUUUUAUAUCUUGAUUACAUUAAUAGGAAUUGUACAACAAUAUUUGCGAGAUCCUAUGUCUCCCACUUAUAUUUUUGGUAGAACUCUUGUGUCUACCCUCACUCGUAUUUUUUGCAGGAGCUCUUUUGAUUGGCUCACCUCUCAACUUAUGCAUACAACAUAUUUAUAGUUAGUAUAUCUUAGUUUCUAGAUUUUUCUAUACUUGUCAUUUAUCUAGAUUCUUCUUAACUAGAUAUUUCUUAAGUAAAUUCUAGACAUUAUUUAGCUAUAUUUUUCUACACACUUUACUAGUAGAUUUUUGUAUAGUACAUUCUAGAUUUAGAUUUUUCUAGAUUAACAUCUUAACAGUGACACUACUAGUUAACUAGUUAUAUACAUUUGGUGGGUUGCUUUUACGUUGAAA